GCCAGUGAUGAUAUAAUCCACUUGUUUGAGGUGUAGUGGAGCCAAGCCCCUGUCUUGACAGGGAGAACCUACUUGGUGAAGCUACAUUUCAUAUGACUUUACUGGAUUUCACUGAGGC